AGUGAACGCUGGCGGUAGGCCUAACACAUGCAAGUCGAACGGCAGCACAGUAAGAGCUUGCUCUUACGGGUGGCGAGUGGCGGACGGGUGAGGAAUACAUCGGAAUCUACUUUUUCGUGGGGGAUAACGUAGGGAAACUUACGCUAAUACCGCAUACGACCUACGGGUGAAAGCAGGGGAUCUUCGGACCUUGCGCGAUUGAAUGAGCCGAUGUCGGAUUAGCUAGUUGGCGGGGUAAAGGCCCACCAAGGCGACGAUCCGUAGCUGGUCUGAGAGGAUGCGAGGCCAAAUUGGGAAUGAGAUACGGCACAGACUACUACGGGAGGCAGAGGUGGGGAAGAUUGCACAAGGGUCGGAAGGAUGAUGAAGCAACGCCGUGGGUGGGAUGAGGUCCUGCGGGUUGAAAAACGCUUGCGCCUGUGAAGAAGGGUGAGUGACGGUAAUGGGUAGAGAAGCACGGGCUAGCUAAGUG
rnacentral:rRNA from 1 species